CCCUUAGAUGUCCUGGGCCGCACGCGCGCUACACUGACAUGUUCAACAGGUUUCUCCCAGUUCGACAGGACUGGGAAAUCUUUGAACGCAUGUCGUGAUAGGGAUAGAUCAUUGCAAUUAUUGAUCUUGAACGAGGAAUUCCUAGUAAACGCGAGUCAUCAGCUCGCAUUGAUUACGUCCCUGCCCUUUGUACACACCGCCCGUCGCACCUACCGAUUGAAUGUUUCGGUGAAGAUUCCGGAUAGGACUGAUUUGAUUUAUUUCAUUUCUGACCUAAAAGCUAUCUAAACCUCAACAUUUAGAGGAAGGUGAAGUCGUAACA
rnacentral:rRNA from 1 species